GUGUAUGACGAUGAGACUUACAUGAUGCAGGAUGUGGCGGAAGAACAAGAAGUUGAGACGGAGAAUUCAGAAACAGGGAGGUAGAAGAUCGACUUGAGAAACUGGGGACCUGGAAAGGAGCCCCAGUCCUAGGAUCACCUGAAGGUGAGACAGAUUGAGCCAGGAGGAAGACCAUGCUGUGGAAGCAUCAGUUCACAGCAGUAAUGCACACUGUACGGAUAAGACCAUUGAAGCUGCUGAAGCCCUGCUUCAUAUGGAGUCUCCUACCUGCUUGAGGGAUUCAAGAAGUCCCGAGUUUAUCCAUGCUGCGAUGAGGCCAGAUGUCAUUACGGAGACUGUAGUGGAGGUGUCAACAGAGGAGUCUGAACCAAUGGAUGCCUCGCCUAUCCCUACUUCACCAGACAGCCACGAACCAAUG
rnacentral:lncRNA from 1 species